UACGGAGGGUGCGAGCGUUAAUCGGAAUUACUGGGCGUAAAGCGUGCGCAGGCGGUUUGCUAAGACAGGUGUGAAAUCCCCGGGCUUAACCUGGGAACUGCGCUUGUUACUGGCAGGCUUGAGUGUGGCAGAGGGGGGUGGAAUUCCGCGUGUAGCAGUGAAAUGCGUAGAUAUGCGGAGGAACACCGAUGGCGAAGGCAAUCCCCUGGGCCUGCACUGACGCUCAUGCACGAAAGCGUGGGGAGCAAACAGG
rnacentral:rRNA from 1 species